UUACGGCCACAUCAUGUUGAAACACCGGUUCCCGUACGAUCACCGAAGUUAAGCAACGUCGUACCUGGUCAGUACCAAGUUAGAUGACCGCUUGGGAAUACCAGGU